rnacentral:snRNA from 13 species
GUCUCCGCCUGGCAGAGGAGACACCAUAGUUAAGAAGGUGGUCCUCCAAGGAUUUGACUCAUUCCUUGCACUUUGAGUAUGUCUACAAUUUGCUCAAAUGCAGGAAAGUCAACUGCAUAAUUUGUGUUAGUGUUAGACUUUGACCAUGCUCUUUUCUACC